ncrna:unclassified sequences RAGATH-34 RNA
UUAGAUAAUUCUAAGCGCAAACUUGGUCUGAUGAACUAAGAGUAUAUUCCGGAGUAUACUUUGACUUAAAGGCGUUAUAAAGAGUUGAAACCUGUACU